UACGGGGGGGGCAAGCGUUGUUCGGAAUUACUGGGCGUAAAGCGCACGUAGGCGGGUCGUUAAGUCAGGGGUGAAAUCCCGGAGCUCAACUCCGGAACUGCCUUUGAUACUGGCGACCUUGAGGCUGGAAGAGGUUAGUGGAAUUCCCAGUGUAGAGGUGAAAUUCGUAGAUAUUGGGAAGAACACCAGUGGCGAAGGCGGCUAACUGGUCCAGAUCUGACGCUGAGGUGCGAAAGCGUGGGGAGCAAACAGG
rnacentral:rRNA from 1 species